rnacentral:lncRNA from 1 species
CUCCACCUUCUCAUCUACGUCCUUUUUUUUUUGAAAAUUUACUUCACCUUAUGAAUUUUAUCUCUUCAGGAGGAUCAACGAGUAUCCAUACAUCAUUGAUCUUCAUAACCUCCAUUUCAGACUUUAUGGCUUCAAGUUACUUAUCAGAGUCGGAUCUUUGCAUGGCAUCCAUGUAGGUGAUCGGAUCUUUAUUAUUUUCAUCAAGUUUAACAUGAUCACCAUCCC